rnacentral:rRNA from 1 species
AACGAACGCUGGCGGCAUGCCUAACACAUGCAAGUCGAACGAGACCUUCGGGUCUAGUGGCGCACGGGUGCGUAACGCGUGGGAACCUUCCCUUAGGUUCGGAAUAACUCCCCGAAAGGGGUGCUAAUACCGGAUAAUGUCUUCGGACCAAAGAUUUAUCGCCUUUGGAUGGGCCCGCGUUGGAUUAGCUAGUUGGUAGGGUAAAAGCCUACCAAGGCGACGAUCCAUAGCUGGUCUGAGAGGAUGAUCAGCCACACUGGGACUGAGACACGGCCCAGACUCCUACGGGAGGCAGCAGUGGGGAAUAGUGGACAAUGGGCGAAAGCCUGAUCCAGCAAUGCCGCGUGAGUGAUGAAGGCCUUAGGGUUGUAAAGCUCUUUUACCCGGGAUGAUAAUGACAGUACCGGGAGAAUAAGCUCCGGCUAACUCCGUG